rnacentral:rRNA from 1 species
CCUACGGGGUGCAGCAGUAGGGAAUUUUGCGCAAUGGGGGAAACCCUGACGCAGCAACGCCGCGUGAUCGAUGAAGCCCUUCGGGGUGUAAAGCUCUAUCAGCAGGGAAGAAAAUGACGGUACCUGACUAAGAAGCCCCGGCUAACUACGUGCCAGCAGCCGCGGUAAUACGUAGGGGGCAAGCGUUAUCCGGAUUUACUGGGUGUAAAGGGAGCGUAGACGGUCCUGCAAGCCAGAUGUGAAAGCCCGGGGCUCAACCCCGGGACUGCAUUUGGAACUGUAAGGCUAGAGUGUCGGAGAGGCAGGCGGAAUUCCUAGUGUAGCGGUGAAAUGCGUAGAUAUUAGGAGGAACACCAGUGGCGAAGGCGGCCUGCUGGACGAUGACUGACGUUGAGGCUCGAAAGCGUGGGGAGCAAACAGGAUUAGAUACCCUUGUAGUC